GAGUUUGAUCAUGGCUCAGAUUGAACGCUGGCGGCAUGCCUUACACAUGCAAGUCGAACGGCAGCACGGGAGCUUGCUCCUGGUGGCGAGUGGCGAACGGGUGAGUAAUGCAUCGGAACGUAUCCUGGAGUGGGGGAUAACGUAGCGAAAGUUACGCUAAUACCGCAUAUUCUGUGAGCAGGAAAGCGGGGGACCUUCGGGCCUCGCGCUCUUGGAGCGGCCGAUGUCGGAUUAGCUAGUUGGUGAGGUAAAGGCUCACCAAGGCGACGAUCCGUAGCAGGUCUGAGAGGAUGAUCUGCCACACUGGAACUGAGACACGGUCCAGACUCCUACGGGAGGCAGCAGUGGGGAAUUUUGGGCAAUGGGGGCAACCCUGAUCCAGCCAUGCCGCGU
rnacentral:rRNA from 1 species